GACAGAGGGUGCAACCGUUGUUCGGAAUUACUGGGCGUAAAGCGCGUGUAGGCUGCCCUGCAAGUCGGAUGUGAAAGCCCUGGGCUCAACCUAGGAAGUGCACUCGAAACUGCAGGGCUGGAGUCCUGGAGAGGAAGGCGGAAUUCUCGGUGUAGAGGUGAAAUUCGUAGAUAUCGAGAGGAACACCGGUGGCGAAGGCGGCCUUCUGGACAGUGACUGACGCUGAGACGCGAAAGCGUGGGGAGCAAACAGG
rnacentral:rRNA from 1 species